UGCUUCGUCUGUACUGCCCGGGUGGGUCUAGGGGCUUGGCUUUGAAAAACCUUCACUGCUGUGCUGAACCAGAAGGUACCCCCUAACCCGCGUGUGGCAACUGAGCGCUUGAAAUCGCUGCGCUAUAGGAUAAAGACUUCCGGAUUCCUGUCUCCAACAUGGACCCCGGCCUCUCCUCCCGAGUUACAGACCCAUAGUUCCGCUGCCUACGUGACAUCUCCCUUUGGGUGUCUUACGACCAUCUCUGACGUACACAUCCUCACCCAAAACCUGUGCCUUCCCAGUCUGGCCCAUCUCAAUAAUGACCCGAGCACCCUCCCACUUGCGCUAGGAGAAACUGAGGAAUCAUUUUUGUUUACUAUCCUUCAAUCUCCACAUGCAAUCCGUUAGCAGGUCCCAUCAUUUCUUAACUCCAGAAUGUCCCAAAUCUGUCCACCUUCCGUUUUUCCGAUUUUCCGGUGCUGCAACUCUAGUCCAGGCUAGCAUAAUCUCAGAAACGAUUACAAUAGUCAUUUUACAGGCAAGAAAACUGAAAUUACAGAAAGUAGCCCUGUGUUGAAGCUCACACAACUAAAAUAUGGCAGAACUGGGAUCCACCCUCAGGCCAGUCUGAUCCCAAAGCCCUCUUCUUACCACUGACUAACUAAUUCAGGGUCAGACUGCCUGAGUGCAACAAGGCUCUGUUGCUUAUGACAGCCAUAGCCAAAUUAAUCACCCCUACUGACUUCUAGUUUCUUUGCAUAUAAAGUGGCUGCUGUGUGGAAAAUUCACUGCAUUCUGGAUGGGAGGGUGGGGAGACAAAAUCAGGACAAUAUUUAGGAGGCUGUGGCAAUUGUCCAGAGAUUGUGGAGUGCUGGACCAGUGUGGUAUCUUGGGGCAGCAAGGAUGAUGGGAACAAACCCGGGUUUCAGGAGUUUGAGACACACUACAAUAAAGUUCACACUGUCUCCUUAGAUGACUGCUAGGCACCAAUUCAAAUAUCCAAAGGCAAACACAGCCCAAGGAUUGUAUUAUGGUUCUUGUUUUUUACUAUGGUUCUCCAGAUAACCUAAAUGUGAUGGUGGGAGGCCACACCUCCAUCCCAAUAGGAAGUUAUGUUGAGGAGGGAAGCCUUCCACCCACCCUGCCAAGAGCAGACAAAACCCCUUCUCCCUCCCUGAUGACCCAAGCCCAAACCCUGUACUUUGAGACAUACCAGUUCCCUGCUUCAGGUCCUACUUACUGUUUCACCAUGGCCCUUCCCUCUUCACUCUCAGUCUUGUCCUAUUAGAAUCACAGGAGAGAGGAAUUCUAGAGCUGGAAGGAAGCCACUGUUAGGGCUUCCAGUGUGGAAGUCAGGGAGGGGCCAGGAUUUGAACCCAGGUUCUUGACCUCUGAGAACUGUGCUCUUUCAAAUCUGUACCUUCCCCGAGCAGCCCAAAAGGGAGGUGUCCCACUUUGUGGCCAGAGCAGGAGACAGCAGGUCAAAAUAUAUCAGAGCUACCCCUUGCUAGUUCUGAGGGAUGUUCUCUGGUGCUAUGCACACCAGCCAUUCCAACAUCCCUACUAUUCUACCCCACAUACCAGGCCCAGAUGGUUAGGGACUAUUUCCCACCACCCUCCCCAUUGCCCACCACAUUCCCACUACAAGAGUCCUUUCAGUUGCCAUGUUGUAGAGUCUUGAACAGUGCUGUGUCUUGGGCAAAGAAGGUGAUGAUUAAAAAAAAAAAAAAAAAAAGAUCCCCAGGCAUUUGGAAGGCUCC